AUUGAACGCUGGCGGCAUGCCUUACACAUGCAAGUCGAACGGCAGCGCGGGAGCAAUCCUGGCGGCGAGUGGCGAACGGGUGAGUAAUGCAUCGGAACGUACCUGGAAGUGGGGGAUAACGUAGCGAAAGUUACGCUAAUACCGCAUAUUCUGUGAGCAGGAAAGCAGGGGACCGCAAGGCCUUGCGCUUUCGGAGCGGCCGAUGUCGGAUUAGCUAGUUGGUGGGGUAAAGGCUUACCAAGGCGACGAUCCGUAGCGGGUCUGAGAGGAUGAUCCGCCACACUGGGACUGAGACACGGCCCAGACUCCUACGGGAGGCAGCAGUGGGGAAUCUUAGACAAUGGGCGCAAGCCUGAUCUAGCCAUGCCGCGUGAGCGAUGAAGGCCUUAGGGUUGUAAAGCUCUUUCGUGGGGGAAGAUAAUGACUGUACCCCAAGAAGAAGCCCCGGCUAACUCCGUG
rnacentral:rRNA from 1 species